CAGCCGCCGCGGUAAUACGAAGGGUGCAAGCGUUACUCGGAAUUACUGGGCGUAAAGCGUGCGUAGGUGGUGGUUUAAGUCCGUUGUGAAAGCCCUGGGCUCAACCUGGGAAUCGCAGUGGAUACUGGGUCACUAGAGUGUGGUAGAGGAUAGUGGAAUUUCCGGUGUAGCAGUGAAAUGCGUAGAGAUCGGAAGGAACAUCUGUGGCGAAGGCGACUAUCUGGGCCAACACUGACACUGAGGCACGAAAGCGUGGGGAGCAAACAGGAUUAGAUACCCCAGUAGUCCCUGUCUCUUAUAC
rnacentral:rRNA from 1 species